CAGCGAACCCGCUAACGCAGCUGCUGGCUGGAAACAGGACCGCGCCGGGACCGGCCUUUGUAAUUAGGGGAACAGCUACUAGAAUGCCGUUCCUGCUUUUUGAAGCGCCUGGCUUCGGUACAGAGGAUGGAGGAGCUACGUUUUGAAAAGGGCCAGUGAUUCCUGCAGGGGCCAGUGAUUCCUGCAGGGGCCAGCGAUUCCGGCAGAUGCGAGUCAUCCCUCCAGGGGCCAGUGGUUCCCGCAGGUGCCCGUGCCCGCUGCAGGGAGCACUGAGUGCAGGUGUAACACACUGUGCUGCACACACCGGCUGUGCCUGGAGCUGUUCCCCAGGGAAUUCUGCCCCUCUGCCCCCCUGCUCGGCCAAGCUCAGCUGGAAUUCAGCACAAGUGCAGGAUGGACACACACCCAGUGGGGCAAAAAUGUGCACUCACCCUCUCC